rnacentral:lncRNA from 1 species
GUAUAAGCCAUUAUGUUUGGCCUGAUGGCACUGUUAAUGUUGUAACCCCUGCACUUGUAUUCUGUUGUGAGCGAGUGCUUUUUAUUACCUGUAUGACUGUUUAUUGAGCUAUUUAUUACCUAUAUGGAUGAAUUAAAUUUGUUUUUCAGUGUUGUUUCUUGUUGUUGGUUUUGAGACAGUCUGACUGUGCAGGCCUAAGCGAGCUCAGUCACCUGUCUGUCUGCCUGCCUCCGGGGUGGUUUUCCUUUCGAGGUUGAUUUGCACAUAGCAGUGUUUUGCCUGGAUGUGUGUAUUAUGUGCACCAUGUGUGCCUUGGGUCAGUGGAGCCCCUGGAGUUGGAGAUGUGGAUAGUUGUACACCACCACGUGAUAGCUGGGACUAGAACCCAGGUCCUGCAAGCGCAGCACUCGCUCAUAACCACUGAGCCAUCUCUCCAGCGGUUUUUCAUUACCAUAGUUUAUUUUUUCCUGCUCAGUUAUCCCAGCUUUGGCCAGUGGGAGUCCCUCAAGCUGCUACAGGAAUGCAGAGACAAUCUCCAAAACUGUGCAGAGAGCGUUCUUACUCAGAUGCUCAAGUCUCUCUUGUCUCCCUCUCAGUGCUGGGGUUAGCCAGCGUCUCCAAGGAGUCCUUAGUUCUCCUAACACGGACUGACGAUGAAGGUGUAAAGGUAUGGGAUGCUCACAGUGCUCACUACUCUGCCUUGCUUCCUGGCUCCUUCAGCAAACGCCGGAUAGAUGUGGACACAGACAUAGAUGACUUAGGCAUGUGACACUGAGUAUGUGUGCAGAGGUCAGUUUACCUCAGCACCCUGGCAAGUUUUAUAAAUUUUGCUCAAUAUUUGGGUGUUCAUCUUCCAGUUAGAACCUUCACCCUCAGGCUUGCUUGCUCUCCUUUUUUGGGGGUGGGGUGGGGUGUGUGUUUCGAGACAGGGUUUCUCUGUGUAGCCCUGGCUGUCCAGGAACUCACUCUGUAGACCAGGCUGGCCUCGAACGCAGAAAUCCGCCUGCCGCUGCCUCCCGAGUGCUGGGAUUAAAGGCGUGCGCCACCACAACUGGCUUUUUUUUGCUUGCUCUCCU